GAUGAACGCUGGCGGCGUGCCUAAUACAUGCAAGUCGAGCGAAUGGAUUAAGAGCUUGCUCUUAUGAAGUUAGCGGCGGACGGGUGAGUAACACAUGGGUAACCUGCCCAUAAGACUGGGAUAACUCCGGGAAACCGGGGCUAAUACCGGAUAACAUUUUGAACCGCAUGGUUCGACAUUGAAAGGCGGCUUCGGCUGUCACUUAUGGAUGGACCCGCGUCGCAUUAGCUAGUUGGUGAGGUAACGGAUCACCAAGGCAACGAUGCGUAGCCGACCUGAGAGGGUGAUCGGCCACACUGGGACUGAGACACGGCCCAGACUCCUACGGGAGGCAGCAGUAGGGAAUCUUCCGCAAUGGACGAAAGUCUGACGGAGCAACGCCGCGUGAGUGAUGAAGGCUUUUGGGUCGUAAAACUCUGUUGUUAGGGAAGAACAAGUGCUAGUUGAAUAAGCUGGCACCUUGACGGUACCUAACCAGAAAGCCACGGCUAACUACGUGCCAGCAGCCGCCGUAA
rnacentral:rRNA from 1 species